rnacentral:rRNA from 1 species
AGACGGGGCCCGCACAAGCAGCGGAGCGUGUGGUUUAAUUCGAUGCAACGCGAAGAACCUUACCAGGGUUUGACAUGCUUAAAGUAGGAACUCGAAAGAGGGACGACCUGUAUCCAGUCAGGAGUUUGCACAGGUGCUGCAUGGCUGUCGUCAGCUCGUGCCGUGAGGUGUUAGGUUAAGUCCUGCAACGAGCGCAACCCUCGUCGCUAGUUGUUUUCUCUAGCGAUACUGCCCGUAUAACGUGGAGGAAGGUGGGGAUGACGUCAAGUCAGCAUGGCCCUUACAUCCUGGGCUACACACACGCUACAAUGGGUGAUACAACAGGUUGCAAUAGAGUAAUCUGGAGCCAAUCCCUAAAAUCAUCCUCAGUACGGAUUGCAGGCUGCAACUGCCCGCAUGAAGUUGGAGUUGCUAGUAAACGCAGGUCAGCACACUGCCGUUGAACCUACGUUCUCGGGCCUU